GACGAACGCUGGCGGCGUGCCUAACACAUGCAAGUCGAACGAACAGACCAGGUUCUUGCUCCUCUGACUUUGUCGCCGGACGGGUGAGUAACACGUGGAUAACCUACCUAUAAUACUGGGAUAACUUCGGGAAACCGGGUCUAAUACCGGAGAAUUUAUUGCACCGCAUGGUGCAAUAGUGAAAGACGGUUUUUCGUUGAGUUAUAGAUGGAUCUGGGCCGCAUUAGCUGGUUGGUAAUGUAACGGCUUAGCACGGCGACGACGGGUAGCCGUCCUGAGAGGGGGGUCGGCGACACUGGAGGUGAGGCGCGGCCCCGACUCCUACGGGAGGCAGCAGUAGGGAAUCUUACGGGAUGGGGGAAAGCCUGCCGGAGCAGCGCCGCGUGAGGGCUGAAGGUCUUCGGAUCGUAGAACUCUGUUAUUGGGGGAGAACAAAUGCGUACGUAACUAUGCAGGUCUUGACGGUACCGGGUCAGAAAGCCCCGGCUAACUACGUG
rnacentral:rRNA from 1 species